UGAGGCUCUUAGUUCUAGGUCGGUCAAAACCUCGACCCUCCGUUCAUUUUUCUUUAGAAAAAGCAACAGCAACAGACUUUUUCCAGCAGCCAAGCAGCAGCCCAGCUUGUUAUCUUCUUUUUUGGAUUAUCUCCUGACUCUUUAAAUUUGAAAAAAUGGUUGAACAUUUGACUGCUGAACAGCUAGCUAGAACUGGAUGGAAAUUUCAUUUUAACAAUGAUACAAUUAGAGGCAGAAGAAAUGUUGUUCUUGCUACGCUUGGAGGAUAUUUUGGACUGUACUGUCUCUACAAAUUCACCAGAAAAACGAAGAAACAAUAAAGAAACAAACUCAUCGUGUUAAAGACAUAAAAUUGUAUACAGAAAUGUUUUGAACAAGUGUAAUAUGUUAUGUGUGAACAGAACUUUUUAAUUAA